GGAAGUGGGAGAGGAGCGAGAGGUGGCAGCAGCUAGGGCUGCAGCACCUCGGUUUCUUGCAGGCGGAAACAGAGGAGACGAGGUGUGGGGCGAUGGGGACGAGAAGAAGAAGAAGAGGAAAAAGAAGAAGAGAAAAAGAAAAAAAAGAUGGCUGCGGCAUGGGCUGUAGUGAGAAGGUGUGGGGUGUCGGGUAGGAGAAGGGAAGAAGAGGAGAAGAAGAAGGAGAAGAAGAAGAAGAAGAGGAAGGGAAGAAGUAGAAGCGGGUGAAGAGGCGACACCUCUGUUUCCUGCAGGAGGAAACAGAGGAGAGGAGGUGAUGUUCGUCGGGGAGAAGAAGGGGAGGAAGGAGAAGAAGAGAAGAAGAAGAAGAAAGGAAGGAGAAGGAAGAUGAGAAGGGAAAGAAGUAGCUGCUGCUGCGGCUGUGGCAGCUGCAGCUGUGGCAGGGAAAGAGGAAGAGGAAGGA
rnacentral:lncRNA from 1 species